GAUGAACGCUAGCGGCAGGCCUAAUACAUGCAAGUCGGACGGGAUUCAGGAGCUUGCUUCUGAUGAGAGUGGCGCACGGGUGCGUAACACGUAUGUAACCUACCUUUAUCAGGGGGAUAGCCUCUCGAAAGAGAGAUUAAGCCCGCAUAAAAUCACAGCACAGCAUUGUGUAAUGAUCAAAUAUUUAUAGGAUAAAGAUGGGCAUGCGGAACAUUAGCUAGAUGGCGGGGUAACGGCCCACCAUGGCGACGAUGUUUAGGGGAUCUGAGAGGAUGGCCCCCCACACUGGUACUGAGACACGGACCAGACUCCUACGGGAGGCAGCAGUAAGGAGUAUUGGUCAAUGGGCGGAAGCCUGAACCAGCCAUGCCGCGUGCAGGAAGACGGCCCUACGGGUUGUAAACUGCUUUUAUACGGGAAUAAACCCAGAUACGUGUAUCUGGCUGAAUGUACUGUAAGAAUAAGGAUCGGCUAACUCCGUG
rnacentral:rRNA from 1 species